ensembl:snRNA U6 U6 spliceosomal RNA
GUGCUCGCUUCAACAGCACAUAUACUAAAACUGGAACUAUACAGAGAAGAUUAGCAUGGCCCCUGCUCAAGGAUGACAUGCAGAUUCCUGAAGCAUUCUAUAUUUUU